rnacentral:rRNA from 1 species
CCUACGGGCGGCAGCAGUGGGGAAUAUUGGGCAAUGGAGGCAACUCUUACCCAGCAAUGCCGCGUGAAUGAAGAAGGUCCUCAGCUUGUCAAGUCCUUUAAUCGGGGACGCAAAAAAUGAGGGUACCCCGGGAAUAAGCGUCGGCGAACUACGAGCGAGCAGCCGCGGCAAUACGUCGGGGGCAAGCGUGGUUCGGAAUGGCGGAGCGUCAAGGGUGUGUGGGCGGUGUAGCAACUUAGAUGUGAAAUACCUAGAGCCUAACUCAGGUGCAGCUGCCAAAACUGGUAUACUUGAGUGCAGUGGAGGAAAGUGGAAUGCGCAGUGUAGCGGUGGAAUGCGUAGAUAUUAGGAGGAACAUC